rnacentral:lncRNA from 1 species
CUUUAAUGUUAUCAGCGUCAACUGAAAUCUCAAAAAGGACUCUCUUACCAAAGAGAUCGCUAACUGCUUCUGGUAAGAAGUCUUCAUCUUCAUUCUACAAUUACAUAGAGAUAGGUUAAACAAACGAAUUUAUUCUGUUAAUUGAUGUACAAUUAUAUUGCAUAAAAGUACCUCGUCAUAGAGUUCAGCAGCAGAAUGACGCACAAUUUGUUGAGCAUUAGCAUCAAACAAAAGAAAAUUAGCCUCACCGCUAUCGUCCUUGACAUGGGAAAUUAAUUUGAACCUGUACAAAAAUAUUAAUAAACGUCACAGACUAUUUCAAUGACGAUUUACCCAACUCAUCUAUUUGUAUAUCUAACCCGCUCAAUACCUGGAAA